rnacentral:rRNA from 1 species
GGACGAACGCUGGCGGCGUGCCUAACACAUGCAAGUCGAGCGGAGGUAUUCAAGGAGCAAUCUGCGGAUACUUUAGCGGCGGACGGGUGAGUAACGCGUGAGCAACCUGCCUUUCACAGGGGGAUAAGGCGGCGAAAGCCGCUCUAAUACCGCAUGAGACCCCGGUGGUGAUACCACAGCGGUCAAAGGAGCAAUCCGGUGAGAGAUGGGCUCGCGUCCGAUUAGGUAGUUGGUGAGGUAAAGGCUCACCAAGCCAAUGAUCGGUAGCCGGCCUGAGAGGGUGAACGGCCACAUUGGAACUGAGAGACGGUCCAAACUCCUACGGGAGGCAGCAGUGGGGAAUAUUGGGCAAUGGGGGAAACCCUGACCCAGCAACGCCGCGUGAGGGAAGAAGGUUUUCGGAUUGUAAACCUCUGUUCUUGGGGAAGAGCAGAAGACGGUACCCAAGGAGGAAGCCCCGGCUAACUACGUGCCAGCAGCCGCGGUAAUACGUAGGGGGCGAGCGUUGUCCGGAAUGAUUGGGCGUAAAGGGCGCGUAGGCGGCUGUGUAAGUCAGUAGUGGAAGUCCAGCUUUUAAGGUUGGAAGUGCUAUUGAAACUGUGCAGCUUGAGUGCAGGAGAGGUUAUCGGAAUUCCCGGUGUAGCGGUGAAAUGCGUAGAGAUCGGGAGGAACACCAGUGGCGAAGGCGGGUAACUGGACUGCAACUGACGCUGAGGCGCGAAAGUGUGGGGAGCAAACAGGAUUAGAUACCCUGGUAGUCCACACUGUAAACGAUGAAUGCUAGGUGUAGGGGGUAUCGACCCCUUCUGUGCCGGAGUAAACACAAUAAGCAUUCCGCCUGGGGAGUACGGUCGCAAGAUUAAAACUCAAAGGAAUUGACGGGGGCCCGCACAAGCAGCGGAGCAUGUGGUUUAAUUCGAAGCAACGCGAAGAACCUUACCAGGUCUUGACAUCCAGGUAAAGCUGCAGAGAUGCAGUGUGUGCUUGCACAAUCUGAGACAGGUGGUGCAUGGUUGUCGUCAGCUCGUGUCGUGAGAUGUUGGGUUAAGUCCCGCAACGAGCGCAACCCUUGCCAUUAGUUGCUACGAAAGGGCACUCUAAUGGGACUGCCGGUGACAAACCGGAGGAAGGUGGGGAUGACGUCAAGUCCUCAUGGCCCUUAUAGGUGGGGCUACACACGUCAUACAAUGGCUGGUACAGAGGGUUGCCAACCCGCGAGGGGGAGCCAAUCCCACAAAGCCAGUCGUAGUCCGGAUCGCAGUCUGCAACUCGACUGCGUGAAGUCGGAAUCGCUAGUAAUCGCGGAUCAGAAUGUCGCGGUGAAUACGUUCCCGGGUCU